rnacentral:rRNA from 1 species
UGGGGGAUAUUGCACAAUGGGCGAAAGCCUGAUGCAGCGACGCCGCGUGGGGGAUGAGGGCCUUCGGGUUGUAAACUUCUUUUGCUCUGAACAAGGCAUGCCUUUGGGGUGUGUUGAGUGUAGGGGUUGAUUAGCGCCGGCUAACUACGUGCCAGCAGCCGCGGUAAUACGUAGGGCGCGAGCGUUGUCCGGAAUUAUUGGGCGUAAAGGGCUUGUAGGUGGCUGGUUGCGUCUGUCGUGAAAGCUCAUGGCUUAACUGUGGGUUUGCGGUGGGUACGGGCUGGCUUGAGUGCAGUAGGGGAGGCUGGAAUUCCUGGUGUAGCGGUGGAAUGCGCAGAUAUCAGGAGGAAUACCGGUGGCGAAGGCGGGUCUCUGGGCUGUUACUGACGCUGAGGAGCGAAAGCGUGGGGAGCGAACAGG